UAUAUAUAUACCCUCUAAUCCUUUGUCUCUCUCCCGCUCUCUCUCUCUCUCUCUCUUUUUCUAUCUCUAUCUCUCUAUCUCACUCUCUCUAACUCUCUCCAAACAAGACGCAAUCCCGUUAGGGGAAAAACGAGGGCCUCUUUCGCCCCGAAUCUGAAUUCGUUCUUUUGAUUUCGAGAGUAAACACGCGUCUUUGCGUUCUUUUUUCCGCAACUUGCUUCUUUCUUUCUGCGACUUUGCACGGAAAAGAUCGAAAAAAGAAGUUCGAUGCAGUCAGUUCGAAUUCGUUUCGCGAAAAGAAUCAAUGAUUCACAUAAUUGACGAUUAACCUUUUUCAAUAUGUUCCGCAUACGAUUAGCCCUGCGAAAGGAAAAAGAAACGAAGCUUCAACGUCGUUAUCUUUUUUCAUUUUCCGUCGACGAGAGCCGCUCGUCGUCGAAUGUUGCCAUUUGUUCAUUUUCGCGUCGAACAAAAAUAGUGAUACGCUUCGGUCGCAGCUCCGAAACACAAGUCGAGAUUUCUAUAUAUAUACAUAUAUAUAUAUAUAUAUAUGUAUAUAUAUAUAUAUAUAUAUAUAUAUAUAUAUAUAAAUAAAUAUUAUGUUGCAUAUAACGUAUAUUAUAUAAAUACAUACAUAUGCAUAUAUGUAUGUAUAUAAACACAGAAACACGGGCACACAUAAAUAGAUGUGUUUAUCAUCCACCGAGGGCGGAUAAAAAACGAAGAUAUAUUUUCUAAUCGCUCGAGCCGAACACGCUCCUGCUUAGUUUUUCUUCUAACUUUUUGUUCUUCGCUUCGAGGUGUCUUUCUUUAUUUUCUAAUUCUUUCUUUUUUCUUUUUUCUUUUUUUUCCUUUUACUUUUUCUUUUUUCAUUUCUACAUAAAUCAUCUUCGUUCAUUUGUCCGCCAUGCGUUUUCUUUUCGUAUUAUAUUCGCGAUUUAUAUAUUAUAACGCGUAGCAUCGUUCACUUAUAUCGUUCUCUUCUUUCUUAAUUCUUCCUUCGAACGCGUUCUCGUAACUUAUCUAGCUGACGUUUACACUCAAGUGAAGAAAAAAUAAAAAAAAAAAAAGGACAAGAAAUUUCUCCUUUAUUCGUACACGAAUACACGCAAACAACACACGUACACGCGCGCACAGAUGACCCGAAGGAGACACUCAUAGAUAGAUGAGAACGUUAUAUUAGACAACCUUGAGACUCCGAACGAAUGCUUACACACAUGUAUACAUACAAAUACAAAAACUUAUAUUUAUAUAUUAUAAACGACGCUCACAUAAGAGAGAAAAAGUUUUAUUAUAUUUAAGUUCGUGGCAAAGCAAAUUCUAUAUUUUUUCUAUGUUAAGUAUAAAGGAGAUUAAUGAAGAAAAAAAGAAGAAAACAGAAGAAUAAAUGCGUAAAGAAAGGUUCUGUGACGACGCGUACACAUAUAUAUUAUAUUAUUAUAUUAUAUUAUAUUAUAUGAUAUAUAUAUAUAUAUAUAUACAUACAUAUACAUAUAAAAAAGAUAUAUUUAUAGGUAUUCUCUUUAGCAUAACUACGUUCCGAAUCGCGCGGAAUCUCUCUGUCGGUGAGCGCACGCGUGCAAGCACGCGUGCACACGCCGACGGAUGGAUCUCGUGUGACAGAUAAUCUAUCUUAACGCAAACGCGAAGAGCUCGCUUUGAAAAAGUCUGAUCCAGAAAUUGAAAUACGGUGGUUCUUCGUUUCGAAGGGAAGGUAAUCCGCGUUUUAAUAGAGAUAUCGAGAUGGAAGACGAGCUUUUUCGUAUGAUACGCGGCCAUUAAGAUCGCGCACGCGUUCGUGUAUAUAUUAUAUCGUGUGCUCUCGAAAUACAUAUAUGUAAUAUAUAACAGCAAAAAACACCACACAACACAUUCGAUCACAUACAGAUACAGAUAUUCAUAUAUACGCAUAGAGAAGCGUUCGUAUAUAUUACAUUUAGGCGAAUAUGUAUGGAGUGACUAGUAGUCGAUAUAACAUAUAAAAUGAGCGGAAGAAUUUACGAUUACAUCUUAUUAUUUAACGAAGAAGCGUCUUCAAAAACGAAAGUGAAACGCGGUAUUAAUUACCGCGGGACAGGAGAAAGGGUAGAGAAAGAAAAUAGAACAAAAUCUACCGAAGGGAGAUCGUAGGAGGCGGUUUAUUGGUACGGUUGCCAGAACUCGGAGCGUGGCGGGAAAUUCAAAACGUCGACGCGCUUCACGAAGGGUGUCCGAGGGAGAGAAGUAGAGAGAAACAGAGAAAUAGACAAAGGAAGAGACGAAAAGAAAGAGAAAAUGGAAGAACAACAAUAGUACAUUGACGCAAUAAAGAGAGCCGUUAAACUACAAAUUGGGCAACGACUCGUUUGCGUUCACUCUGUCGACAAAAGUGCCGAGAGAGAUUAUUUCUACCAACCACAAAAGGAUUGUCGAGAACCUCCGCUAGACUUUGGGACGACUCUGCUGAAUUAAAGAAACACAUAAACGAUACUACGCGCAUUAUAAUCAAGCAGCCUUCACUUUGGCCGAGGUUCUGGCAUCGCGUAGACACCGUUCUUGUCGUUUUCGUAGUUCGUAAUCGUUUCCUUGCAAAGAUAAUCUCUCUUUCUCUGGACCCUGUAGCGUUCUAGGUCCCAUCUACGGAAAGAGGUAUUCGACGAAGGAGAGAAAUUCUCGAAAUUAGAAUGAGAAGACGGAAGGAGGAAGAGCGUUCGAACUUCGUCCUCGGCUCGCGAAAUCGUCCUUUGUCGAUAAGGAGCGGGAAAGUGAAGAGCGGGAGAACAUUCGUACGAACUAUUGUGCCAUACGUAAAUCAAAAGCCUAUUUCUCGUCGUUGUUAAUGUGAAGUCAAGUUCGAGCCGAAGUUUGCGGAACAUUCGGAAAUUCCGAUUUUCUCCGCAGUGUGUUUUUCCCGCACAGCCAUUGUCCUUUCCAAACCGCGAGGGGCCAUUUCGCGAAUGCAGGAUACCGACGUAGGAAUGGGCGCACGAUCGCGAAAGAGGGCCACGUCUACGCGAGACGUUGUUUAAUUUAAAAUAAUAAUAAUUAAAAAAAAAAGAAAAAAAAAUAAAAAAAUAAAAAAAUAAAAAAAUAAAAAAAACAGAAAAAACGGACAAAAAAUGACAAAAAACACGGAGAAAAAAGGGCGAAGGAAGCACGUUAGAUGGGAGACCUCGUGACUAAGGCUAAAUGAAUAUAAUAACUAUAAAUGUAAAAAUAAAAAGACGUAAAGUUUAAUGAUUAUUAAUAGCCCAUUGGCUGUGACCGAUAACUGCCAUUUUCGUAAAGCAAAAGUUAAAAAAUAAAAACUAAUAAAGCGUGAAGCAAGUCAUUAAGAGAAAUGAAAACGAAAGUAACACAAAAAAAAAAAGAAAGAGAGGAAGAGAAAAAAAAAGAAGAAUCACAGGACGACAAAACUAUCGACGCAAAACCACAUGCACUUACACAUGCACCGUAUUACAGGAUAGAGAAACUAAAAAGACGGAUCAAUAUGUAGUCUACAGGUAGAAGCCAAGAAUGAUCGAGAAGAACGUUGAAUUUUAUUGAUGGAAAAGUGAAAGAUCUUCGUGAAGCAAGAGAAGGAUCGAUUUAUAGGGCGAAAAAAUCGAACGUAGCGUUGACAUUUUAAUAUAAACUGCCUGUAACACCCACUCUUAGCCCCGCCAUCCUUCGAAUUUCAUAAUGAGGGGGCAGUAAUCGACGCAAUGAGAAACGAGAAAGAGAGA